rnacentral:rRNA from 1 species
GAUGAACGCUAGCGGCAGGCCUAAUACAUGCAAGUCGAGGGGUAGAAGAGGCUUGCUUCUUUGAGACCGGCGCACGGGUGCGUAACGCGUAUGCAACCUACCUUCAUCUGGGGGAUAGCCCGGAGAGAUCCGGAUUAAUACCGCAUAAAAUCACAGGAUGGCAUUAUCCAAUGAUCAAACAUUUAUGGGAUGGAGAUGGGCAUGCGUGUCAUUAGCUAGUUGGCGGGGUAACGGCACACCAAGGCGACGAUGACUAGGGGAUCUGAGAGGAUGGCCCCCCACACUGGUACUGAGACACGGACCAGACUCCUACGGGAGGCAGCAGUAAGGAAUAUUGGUCAAUGGAGGCAACUCUGAACCAGCCAUGCCGCGUGCAGGAAGACUGCCCUAUGGGUUGUAAACUGCUUUUAUUCGGGAAUAAACCUUAUUACGUGUAAUAAGCUGAAUGUACCGAAGGAAUAAGGAUCGGCUAACUCCGUGCCAGCCGCCGCGGUAA